rnacentral:rRNA from 1 species
CCUACGGGAGGCAGCAGUGAGGAAUAUUGGUCAAUGGGCGUAAGCCUGAACCAGCCAAGUCGCGUGAGGGAUGAAGGUUCUAUGGAUCGUAAACCUCUUUUAUAAGGGAAUAAAGUGUGGGACGUGUCCUGUUUUGUAUGUACCUUAUGAAUAAGGAUCGGCUAACUCCGUGCCAGCAGCAGCGGUAAUACGGAGGAUCCGAGCGUUAUCCGGAUUUAUUGGGUUUAAAGGGUGCGUAGGCGGCCUUUUAAGUCAGCGGUGAAAGUCUGUGGCUCAACCAUCGAAUUGCCGUUGAAACUGGGAGUCUUGAGUCUGUUUGAGGCCGGCGGAAUGCGUGGUGUAGCGGUGAAAUGCUUAGAUAUCACGCAGAACCCCGAUUGCGAAGGCAGCCUGCCAAGCCAUGCCUGACGCUGAUGCACGAAAGCGUGGGGCUCAAACAGGAUUAGAUACCCGUGUAGUC